CGUAUUGAAACAGGUCAGAUCAGGGAUAUUGCCUCUGCGUAUUGAAACAGGUCAGAUCAGGGAUAUUGUCUCUGCGUAUUGAAACAGGUCAGAUCAGGGAUAUUGCCUCUGCGUAUUGAAACAGGUCAGAUCAGGGAUAUUGCCUCUGUGUAUUGAAACAGGUCAGAUCAGGGAUAUUGCCUCUGCGUAUUGAAACAGGUCAGAUCAGGGAUAUUGCCUCUGUGUAUUGAAACAGGUCAGAUCAGGGAUAUUGCCUCUGCGUAUUGAAACAGGUCAGAUCAGGGAUAUUGCCUCUGCGUAUUGAAACAGGUCAGAUCAGGGAUAUUGCCUCUGUGUAUUGAAACAGGUCAGAUCAGGGAUAUUGCCUCUGUGUAUUGAAACAGGUCAGAUCAGGGAUAUUGCCUCUGCGUAUUGAAACAGGUCAGAUCAGGGAUAUUGCCUCUGUGUAUUGAAACAGGUCAGAUCAGGGAUAUUGCCUCUGCGUAUUGAAACAGGUCAGAUCAGGGAUAUUGCCUCUGCGUAUUGAAACAGGUCAGAUCAGGGAUAUUGCCUCUGUGUAUUGAAACAGGUCAGAUCAGGGAUAUUGCCUCUGCGUAUUGAAACAGGUCAGAUCAGGGAUAUUGCCUCUGUGUAUUGAAACAGGUCAGAUCAGGGAUAUUGCCUCUGCGUAUUGAAACAGGUCAGAUCAGGGAUAUUGCCUCUGCGUAUUGAAACAGGUCAGAUCAGGGAUAUUGCCUCUGUGUAUUGAAACAGGUCAG